UACGGGGGGAGCAAGCGUUGUUCGGAUUUACUGGGCGUAAAGAGCGCGCAGGCGGUCGACCAAGUCGAGUGUGAAAGCCCCCGGCUCAACUGGGGAGGGUCAUUCGAUACUGAUCACUCGAAGGCAGGAGAGGGUAGUGGAAUUCCCGGUGUAGUGGUGAAAUGCGUAGAGAUCAUGAGGAAGACCAGUGGCGAAGGCGGGUCUCUGGACAGUUCCUGACACUGAGAACACGAAGGCCCAGGGGGAGCAAAACGGGG
rnacentral:rRNA from 1 species